UACGUAGGGUGCGAGCGUUAAUCGGAAUUACUGGGCGUAAAGCGUGCGUAGGCGGUUCUCCAAGUCCGUUGUGAAAUCCCCGGGCUUAACCUGGGAAUGGCAGUGGAAACUAGGGGACUUGAAUCUGGCAGAGGGGGGUGGAAUUCCACGUGUAGCAGUGAAAUGCGUAGAUAUCAGGAGGAACACCUGUGGUGUAGACGGCUCUCUGGACAGUAACUGACGCUGAGACACGAAAGCGUGGGUAGCAAACAGG
rnacentral:rRNA from 1 species